rnacentral:rRNA from 1 species
UACGGAGGGUGCGAGCGUUAUCCGGAAUUACUGGGUUUAAAGGGUGCGUAGGCGGCUUGGUAAGUCAGGAGUGAAAGUUUGCGGCUCAACCGUAAAAUUGCUUUUGAUACUGCCAGGCUAGAAUCAGGAUGAGGUCAGCGGAAUGUGGCAUGUAGCGGUGAAAUGCGCAGAUAUCAGGAGGAACACCGGUGGCGAAGGCGGGUCUCUGGGCCGAAACUGACGCUGAGGAGCGAAAGCGUGGGGAGCAAACAGG